CCUGCAUGAAGUCGGAAUUGCUAGUAAUCGCGGAUCAGCAUGCCGCGGUGAAUACGUUCCCGGGCCUUGUACACACCGCCCGUCACACCAUGGGAGCCGGUAAUACCCGAAGUCAGUAGUCCAACCUCGUGAGGACGCUGCCGAAGGUAGGAUUGGCGACUGGGGUGAAGUCGUAACAAGGUAUC
rnacentral:rRNA from 1 species